rnacentral:rRNA from 1 species
AGCGAACGCUGGCGGCAGGCUUAACACAUGCAAGUCGAGCGGGCACCUUCGGGUGUCAGCGGCAGACGGGUGAGUAACACGUGGGAACGUACCCUUUGGUUCGGAACAACUCUGGGAAACUGGAGCUAAUACCGGAUGCGCCCUUAUGGGGAAAGGUUUACUGCCGAAGGAUCGGCCCGCGUCUGAUUAGCUAGUUGGUGAGGUAACGGCUCACCAAGGCGACGAUCAGUAGCUGGUCUGAGAGGAUGAUCAGCCACACUGGGACUGAGACACGGCCCAGACUCCUACGGGAGGCAGCAGUGGGGAAUAUUGGACAAUGGGCGCAAGCCUGAUCCAGCCAUGCCGCGUGAGUGAUGAAGGCCUUAGGGUUGUAAAGCUCUUUUGUCCGGGACGAUAAUGACGGUACCGGAAGAAUAAGCCCCGGCUAACUUCGUGCCAGCACGCCGCCGCCGUAA